GAAAAUUAUCUUAUUUUUUUUUUUUCUUUUUCUUACCAGGGGUUGAACCCGGGGACGCCGACUCUCCCUUGGUUGUCUCUCAACCAGUUUAGCAGCACCUCACACCCUCAGCACAGAAGUGGGGUUGCUUGGAAAGCCAGGCCUGCCCAAGGGAGCUGGAGAGACGGUUACUCCUGGGUCCCACCUAGGGUGCCAGAUUAGUUCCCAAAAGCUCAGUUCUUGUCCCUGAUGCCAAUACAAUAAUGAGGACACUGCAUUUAGAAAAAGGAAAAAGAAGCUUUAUUGCUUUGCUAAUGGAGGAGAAGUACAGGGACUCCUGUCCCAGAGGCUGUGAUUCUGCCAGUCAAGGGUGGGGGGUUAAAGAGGUGACUCAAAGGCUACAUUCCACUGUUCUGUGGGGGAUGGUAAUUCACAUGUUAAUUUAGGAGAUGAUCAUUUCUGAGAUCUGGCGCCAACCUAGUAUCUGAAUUGCUUCCUUUGUCUGGUGUGUGCUGAAGGACAGAUAACUCUGCCCAGGAUGGGGAAGAAAGGUAACCCUGUUUAACCCAAGAUUAGGGAGAGACGGAGAUAGAGAGGAGAUGAUAGAGGAAGAGAAAGAAUAUGUCUAUCUAAGAAUAAGUCGCAGAACCAACCUGGGUGCCCUUCAACAGAUGAAUGAAUAAAGAAAAUGUGGUACAUAUACACAAUGGAAUAUUACUCAGCCUUAAAGAAGAAUGAAAUUAUGGCCUUUGCUGGCAAAUGGAUGGAGCUGGAGACUCUCAUGCUAAGUGAAAUAAGCCAAUCCCAAAGAACCAAAGGCUGAACAUUUCCUCUGAUAUGCGGAUGCAAGUUCCCAAUAAGG
rnacentral:lncRNA from 1 species